rnacentral:misc_RNA from 1 species
GAUGAAGAACGUAGCGAAAUGCGAUAAGUAAUGUGAAUUGCAGAAUUCAGUGAAUCAUCGAAUCUUUGAACGCACAUUGCGCCCAUUAGUAUUCUAGUGGGCAUGCCUGUUCGGGCGUCAUUAAUUCCACUUAAGCCCUGCUUAGUGUUGGGAAUCUACUCUAGUGGUGCUACCCUGGAGCUACCCCUGAAAGGGGGCUGGCCCGGUAGCUACCCUGUAGUUCCUCAAAGAUAGUGCGCGGAGUUGCGUGGUCCUCUGAGCUUAGUAACUAUACACCUAGCUUUUGAGUGUCCCGCGGCGCCUGCCGUUUAAACCCCAUCUUUUAAUGGUUGACCUCGGAUCAGGUAGGAAUACCAGCUGAACUUAAGCAUAUCAAUAAGCGGA